GAAGCGUGGGACCAACAGAUUAGAUACCUUGGUAGUCCCCGCAGUUAACGAUGACCCUAGGUGUACGGGUAUUGACCCUGCUUGUGCCGAAGUUAACGCAUUAAGUGUUCCGCCUGGGAGUACCGACCGCAAGGUUAAACUCAAAGGAAUUGACGGGGGCCCGCACAACGGUGAAGCAUGUGGUUUAAUUCGACGCAACGCGAAGACCCUUACUUGGGUUUGACAUCCGAAGUAGGCCUUCGAAAGAAGGAUUUGCCUUCGGGGAACUCGGUGACAGGUGCUGCAUGGCUGUCGUCAGCUCGUGUCGUAAGAUGUUGGGUUAAGUCCCGCAACGAGCGCAACCCUUCAUCUUUAGUUACCAUCAUUUAGUUGGGGACUCUAAAGAUACUGCCCCGGUCAACGGGGAGGAAGGUGGGGAUGACGUCAAGUCCUCAUGGCCUUUAUAUCCAGGGCUACACACGUGCUACAAUGGGCUGAACAAAGGGUCGCAAGCCCGCGAGGGUGAGCCAAUCCCAUAAAACAGCUCCAAGUUCGGAUUGGAGUCUGCAACUCGACUCCAUGAAGCUGGAAUCGCUAGUAAUCGUGGAUCAGCAUGCCACGGUGAAUACGUUCCCGGGCCUUGUACACACCGCCCGUCACACCAUGAGAGUUGGUUGUACCAGAAGUUGUUGGGCCAACCUGUAAGGGAGGCAGGCACCUAAGGUAUGGCUGAUGAUUGGGGUGAAGUCGUAACAAGGUAACC
rnacentral:rRNA from 1 species